UGAACGCUAGCGACAGGCCUAACACGAUGCAAGUCAGGGGCAGCACAAGGAGCAAUCUGAGGUGGCGACCGGCGCACGGGUGAGUAACACGUAUGCAACCUGCCUGUAAGCGGGGAAUAACCCGUUGAAAGACGGACUAAUACCGCAUAAUACUAAAUUACUGCAUGGUAAUUUAUUUAAACAUUUAUGGCUUACAGAUGGGCAUGCGCAUGAUUAGCUAGUUGGAGAGGUAACGGCUCCCCAAGGCAACGAUCAUUAGGGUUCUGAGAGGAAGGUCCCCCACACUGGUACUGAGACACGGACCAGACUCCUACGGGAGGCAGCAGUGAGGAAUAUUGGUCAGUGGACGAGAGUCUGAACCAGCCAAGUCGCGUGCAGGAAGAAUGUCCCUAUGGAUUGUAAACUGCUUUUGCAGGGGAAUAAAGUGCAUCACGUGUGAUGUUUUGUAUGUACUCUGCGAAUAAGGAUCGGCUAACUCCGUGCCAGCCGCCGC
rnacentral:rRNA from 1 species